rnacentral:rRNA from 1 species
UACGGGGGGGGCAAGCGUUGUUCGGAAUUACUGGGCGUAAAGGGCGCGUAGGCGGUUUGCUAAGUUGGAUGUGAAAACUCUGGGCUUAACCCAGAGCCUGCAUCCAAAACUGGCAAACUUGAGUACUGGAGGGGAAAGCGGAAUCCUGGUGUAGCGGUGAAAUGCGUAGAUAUCAGGAGGAACACCCGUGGCGAAGGCGGCUCUCUGGGACGGUACUGACGCUGAGACGCGAAAGCGUGGGGAGCGAACAGG